UAAUAUACUUUUAUUUAUUUUGUUGUUAUGAUAUUGAAAUGAGAAAUUAUAGAAUGUUUUUUCUGGUUUCUAGGAUGGCCCUUUUCUUUGAGCAAUCAAAAAAAUUUUUAUUAUAUCCAAGUAGGCGAAAAAUUCAGCAUCUCUUUAUGUUAAUAUGUAUAUUUUACUUUACAUUUGGGUGCAGUCUGCAUGAAUGUGUCUUCAGUACUUGUUAAGUUUCACAUAACAAUCUUCACAGGCUAUUAAUGGAUUUUUGUGUGAUAUAUGUAGAGCUAUAGUUUAGUAAUAGGAGGAGACGUGGACUUUGUUAAGAUAUAGGGAUUCAUCCAAGCUAUGUCACAGGCCAGCUGUUAAGUGAUAUUGGGUAGUUUAUUUAAUCUUUCUUUCUAGGCUUUCCCUUCUCAAAGGUAAAACUUGAGUAUUGGAUUAGAUGGUCCCUUCUGGAUCUAUAAUAAUGAUGAUAGCUUAUGUUACUUGAAACUUGAACCCGUUCAUUAAGUUAAUUUUCCUUCAUGUAGUCCUCAUAAUACUGUAACAUAGAAAUUAUGCUGUCGCUCCCCGACUCGCGGAGGAACGACACUGGACCCUGCGCUGUUCUCUUUCCCUGGUCCUUCCCGGGUUUGCUGCCGGCUCCCCCGCCCCCCCGCCGCGGAGGGGUGGAGGGGUGGCACCCCUGCCACUUCCCCCGCUUCCGCGGAGGAGCGGCACACUGCCGGCCGGCUCUCUCGGGUUGCUCAGAUGUUCCUGCUGUAUGUUCUCUCUCUCCUCCUUUAUAGUCCUUUUCCACCAAUCCCAACUCUGCUGGCGUUCUCUCCCCACGCUCUGAGCACGCUGCUCUCCUCCAAUCAGGAGCAGGAUCAGCUCCUGCAGCUUGUUAGUCGAAUUGGUGAGGCAGCUGUGUGGAAGUUGUUUAUUCCCUCUCAGCGCCAUAUGGUGGGAGAUCAGAUGCACAGAAUUAGUCCUAGCAGUUCCAGUAAUUUAGUCUAGUCUCGGUUGCUCCCCACACUAUGCUCCUUUUCCAAAUUAGUAAACUAAGGCACAUUGUGGUUAACAUGACUUAUUCAAACUCAUGUACCUAGUAAGUGUCACAGCUGGGAUACAAAUUUAGAUAUGUGACACUGUUGAGUUUAGCUACUUUGCAAUACUAUUUUUUUUUUUAAACCCAACACUAAUGAUGUGUGCAGUAGCAGGUUGUGGUAAGUUUUAGUUGUUCCAAAGCAUUUAUUGAAUACCUUCUGUGCUUUAGGCACUAUGCUAAGUACUAGGGAUGCAAGUUACAUACUGAAGGAUUGAGGAAUACAGAUACUAUAUAACAAGUUACACCUAGAAACUGUGUCAGAUGUACCAGAAAUGAUACUUACAAGGUACAUUGGUACCAGCAUAAAGGAGAUCUUUAGCAAAUAUUUAUUUAUUUUUAUUUAUUUGAAAGCAGAGUGACAGCAAGAGAACGAGAGGGAGGGAGAGAGAGAAUCUUCAAUCUGCUGGUUCACUCCCUAAUGGCCUUAACAGGGUCUGGGCCUGGAUGAAGCCAGGAGCCAGAAAUUUCAUUCUAGUCUUCCACAUGAGUGGCAGGGUCCCAAGUACUUGCACCAUCAUCCACUGCCUUCCCAGGCACAUUAGCAUGGAGCAGGAUCGGCAACAGAGUAGCUGGAACUGGAACCAGCACUCUAAUCGGGGAUGCCAGCAUAGGAGUUGGCGGCUUGACCUGCUGUUCUACAACAUCAACCUCUAAGUGUAAGAGCAAAAUACAUACGGAAAAUGUACAGAUCCUAAAUGAACAGAUUGCUGCUUUUUCUAAUAUCAUAGGUUAAUUUUGUGUAAUUAAAAAAAUUUUUUUGUUUCUUACUUAUUUGAGAGAGAGCGUUACAGAGAGGGAGAGACAGAGAGAGGUCUUCCAUCUGCUGGUUCACUCCCCAAUUGCUGCAACGGCUGGAGCUGGGCUGAUCCGAAGCCAGCAGCUAGGAGCUUCUUCCUGGUCUCCUAUGUGGGUGCAGGGCAAGCACUUGGGCCACCUUCCACUGUUUUCCCGGGCUAUAAGCAGAGAGCUGGAUCAGAAGAGGAGCAGCUGGACAUGAACCGGCAACCAUAGGGGAUGCUGGCGCCAUAGGCACAGGCUUUGCCUACUAUGCCACAGUGCCAACCCCAGUUUUGUCUAAUCUUAAACUUUUAAAAAAAAAAAAUUUUUUUUUUUGACAGGUAGAGUGGACAAUGAGAGAGACAGAGAGAAAGGUCUUCCUUUGCCGUUGGUUCACCCUCCAAUGGCCGCCGCGGCUGGCGCACUGUGGCCAGCGCACCGCGCUGAUCCGAUGGUAGGAGCCAGGUGCUUCUGGUCUCCCAUGGGGUGCAGGGCCCAAGUACUUGGGCCAUCCUCCACUGCACUCCCAGGCCACUCUGGCCUGGAAGAGGGGCAACUGGGACAGAAUCCGGCGCCCCAACUGGGACUAGAACCCGGUGUGCUGGUGCCGCAAGGCGGAGGAUUAGCCUAGUGAGCCGUGGUGCCGGCCUAAUCUUAAACUUGAUUCAAAUGGAAUAUACUGUGUGUUCUUUUAUGUCUCGCUUCUUUUGCUCAGUGUUAUAUUGGUAAGAUUUUUUUUUAAAGAUUUAAAAAAAAAUUUGUUUGAAAGGAAGACUUACAGAGAGGGAGACACAGAGAUCUUCCAUCCACUGGUUCACUCUCCAGAUGGCUACAAUGGUCAGGGCUGGUUGAAGCCAGGAGCUUCUUCCAGAUCCCCAUUGUGGGUGCAGGGGACCAAGUUCUUGAGCCGUGUUUUGCUGCUUUUUCCCUGGCCAUUUGCAGGGAGCUGGAUUGGAAGUAAAGUAGCCAGGACUUCAUCCGGUGCCCAUUUGGGAUACUGGUGUUGCAGGUGGCAGCUCUGUUUCGCUACAAUGCUAGCCCCUUAUUUGUAUGAUAUGUACAUGUUACUGUAUGUACCUUUUAACAGUACUUUUAGUUAAUUUUCACUAGUGUAUAGUAUUUCAUUGUAUGUAUGUGAAACAGUUUAAGUUACAUUCUGCUGUUAGUAUACACUUGAGCCCUUUGAAAUUUUUGUGUUAUGAAUGGUGCCUACUAUAAACAGUUUCUGUACAUGUCUUUUGGUGUAUAUAAAUAAGCAUACAUUUCUGUUGAAUAUCUAGAAGUGUAUUGCUGAGUCAUAAGUAUAGAGGCAGUCACUGUGAUGCAGAGGGUUAAGCUGCUUCUUGGGAUGCCCACAUCCCAUAUCAGGCUGCUGGUUCAAGUUCUGGCUAUCUGCUUCCAGCAAGCAACAAAUGAUAGCUCAAGUAUUUGAGUCACUGCUACCCCUGUGGGAGACCUAGAUGGAAUUCCUGGCUCCUGGCUUCUGCCUGGCCCAGCCCUGGCUAUUGUGGACAUUUGGGGAGUGAACCAAAGGAUGGAAGAUCAAUUUCUCUCUUUCACUCUGCCUUUCAAAGGAAUAAAGAAAUU